UGAAAAGCACUUCGAACAGAAGAGUGAAAUAGUCCCUGAACCCAUACGCCUACAAGCAGUCGGAGCCGCUUCGUGCGGUGACGGCGUGCCUUUUGCAUAAUGAGCCUACGAGUUACUCAUCACCAGCGAGGUUAAGUACUUCAGGUACGUAAGCCGAAGCGAAAGCGAGUCUGAAUAGGGCGUCAAGUUGGUGGUGGUAGACGCGAAACCUUAGUGAUCUACCCAUGGGCAGGGUGAAGGUUUGGUAACACAAACUGGAGGCCCGAACCGGUAAACGUUGAAAAGUUUUCGGAUGACCUGUGGGUAGGGGUGAAAGGCCAAUCAAACUGGGAAAUAGCUCGUACUCUCCGAAAUGCAUUUAGGUGCAGCCUCUGUUGUUUUGUUCUAGAGGUAGAGCUACUGAUUGGAUGCGAGGGCUUCACCGCCUAUCAAAUCCGGCCAAACUCCGAAUGCUAGAACAUGAAGACAGGGAGUGAGCCAGCGGGUGCUAAGGUCCGUUGACGAAAGAGGGAGAACUCAGACCAUCAGCUAAGGUCCCCAAUUAUAUGCUAAGUUGGAAUAAAAACGGGGUGGGACUGCUUAGACAGCUAGGAUGUUGGCUUGGAAGCAGCCAUUCAUUUAAAGAGUGCGUAACAGCUCACUAGUCGAGCGGUCCUGCAUGGAUAAUACGCGGGCAUAAGCAUAUAACCGAAGCUAUGGGAUUGUAGAUGAUACAAUCGGUAGGAGAGCAUUCCAUUCAGCAUAGAAGCAGUAUCGUGAGGUAUUGUGGAGCGGAUGGAAAAGCAAAUGUAGGCAUAAGUAACGAUAAUGCGGGUGAGAACCCCGCACGCCGAAAGAUCAAGGAUUCCCCGGCAAUGUCAAUCAUCCGGGGGUAAGUCGGAUCCUAAGGGUAAGCCGAGUGGCGAUCCCGAUGGUAAACAGGUUAAUAUUCCUGUACUGAUCAUAACUGCGAUGCAGCGACGCAGAGGUGACACUGCUGCGUACUGACGGAAUAGUACGUUGAAACCCGUAUUCUUUGAUACCGGUAGUGAAGCACGCCGGUAGAGAUGAAAGGUGAUAGUACCGCAAUGCUUCGGUUGCGCGGAUAAUGCAGGUAAGCUGACUGCCAAGAAAACCUGCUAAGCUUCAGGUAAUGAUCAUCCGUACUGUAAACGGACACACGUGAUCAGGUAGAAAAUACUAAGGCGCUCGAGAGAUUCAUGGUUAAGGAACUAGGCAAAAUGGUCCUGUAACUUCGGGAUAAAGGACGCUCUUGUGAAAGAGCCGCAGAUAAUAGGCCCAGGCGACUGUUUACCAAAAACACAUGGCUAUGCUAAAUCGCAAGAAGAUGUAUAUGGCCUGACACCUGCCCGGUGCCGGAAGGUUAAGAGGAGAGCUCAGAGGUAACUCGAAGGUUUGAAUUGAAGCCCCGGUAAACGGCGGCCGUAACUAUAACGGUCCUAAGGUAGCGAAAUUCCUUGUCGGGUAAGUUCCGACCUGCACGAAUGGUGUAACGAUCUGGGUACUGUCUCAACCAUGAGCUCGGUGAAAUUGUAGUUCCGGUGAAGAUGCCGGAUACCCGCAACGGGACGGAAAGACCCCGUGAACCUUUACUGCAGCUUUGCAUUGAUUUUGGGUAACAGAUGUGUAGGAUAGGUCGGAGGCUUUGAUGCUGCGUCGUCAGGCGUAGAGUAGCCGUCGUUGAAAUACGACCCUUUUGUUAUCUGAGGUCUAACCCGUUAGGGAGACAUUGCAUGGUGGGUAGUUUGACUGGGGUGGUCGCCUCCAAAAGUGUAACGGAGGCUUCUCAAGGUACCCUCAAGGCGUUUGGUAAUCGUCUGCAGAGUGCAAUGGCAUAAGGGUGCUUGACUGUGAGACCGACACGUCGAUCAGGUUGGAAACAAGAGCAUAGUGAUCCGGUGGUUCCGCAUGGAAGGGCCAUCG
rnacentral:rRNA from 1 species